GAGCGCGCCGGCGGAGCAAAGGGGGCGGUGCUCCCGCCGGCUCGCCGCCCGACCGCCCGGCGGAAAGGGCCGAGCGAUCCCGGAAGGAGCCGAAGCGACAAUGCGGGGGAAGAGAUAGAGUCUUCCUCUGUCGCCUAGGCUGGAGUGCAGUGGCGCGAUCUCGGCGCACCGCAACCUCUGCCUCCCGGGUUCAAGCGAAUUCUCCUGCCUCAGCCUCCGGAGUAGCUGGGAUUACAGAUGUGCUCCACCAUGCCCGGCUAAUUUUUGUAUUUUUAGUAGAGAUGGGGGGGUUUCACCAUGUUGGCCAGGCUGGUCUCGAACUCCUGACCUUGUGAUCCACUAGCUUCGGCCUCCCGAAGUUCUGGGAUUACAGGCAUGAGCCACCACACCCGGAUGAAUUAUGCCAUUUUUAAGGCAAAGGUCUCCGUAACUAUUAAUUUCUCUGUCCUUCUAAUCUGUAUUCCCUGAGAAAUUAAUUGGGCUGGCAAGUCAAAGCCCUGAACCCCAGCUGCAGCUUUCUGAGCUUGUUCUGUCCAUCUGUGAAGUAAGGCAAUGAGAAGUGAGUCGGGGAACGGAACCCACGAUGCGUCAGAGGAGUGUUCCAGUUGCACACACACUCCCCAGCCACCUGGCAGCUCAGUCUAUAAUCUGGAGGCUUCCACAUCUACAGCUCCAUACAAAUGAACCUCUGGUUCUAAAGAAGUUUCUUCCUUGUCUGGUUCUCACUUUCUAAACCUCAGUCUCUGGAGAGAAAAGGAGUCCUGGAGGAUGAACAAGGCGAGCUUGGAGUAAUUUGGAAAAGCUAAUGUUGUAGGACAGAAGCAAAGCCUGCAAGUCACAGCCUAGGUUCCCUGAGUGAUGUUUUCAGCAGUAAACUGCAACUUCAAAGCUAAGAGCCAUCCUAAUAAUUUGCCAUAAAAGGUAGCUUGUUAAAAAUGAGUCAAAAAGGCCGGGUGCAGUGACUCACGCCUGUAAUCCCAGCGCUUUGGGAAGCUGAGGCGGGCGGAUCACAAGGUCAGGAGGUCGAGACCAUCCUGGUUAACACGGUGAAACCCCGUGUCUACUAAAAAUACAAAAAAUUAGCUGGGCGUGGUGGCGGGCAGCUGUAGUCCCAGCUACUUGGGAGGCUGAGGCAGGAGAAUGGCGUGAACCCGGGAGGCAGAGCUUGCAGUGAGCCGAGAUUGCGCCACUGCACUCCAGUCUGGGUGACAGAGCAAGACUA
rnacentral:lncRNA from 1 species